rnacentral:rRNA from 1 species
AGCUUGCUCCUCUGACGUUAGCGGCGGACGGGUGAGUAACACGUGGAUAACCUACCUAUAAGACUGGGAUAACUUCGGGAAACCGGAGCUAAUACCGGAUAAUAUAUUGAACCGCAUGGUUCAAUAGUGAAAGACGGUUUUGCUGUCACUUAUAGAUGGAUCCGCGCCGCAUUAGCUAGUUGGUAAGGUAACGGCUUACCAAGGCAACGAUGCGUAGCCGACCUGAGAGGGUGAUCGGCCACACUGGAACUGAGACACGGUCCAGACUCCUACGGGAGGCAGCAGUAGGGAAUCUUCCGCAAUGGGCGAAAGCCUGACGGAGCAACGCCGCGUGAGUGAUGAAGGUCUUCGGAUCGUAAAACUCUGUUAUUAGGGAAGAACAAAUGUGUAAGUAACUAUGCACGUCUUGACGGUACCUAAUCAGAAAGCCACGGCUAACUACGUGCCAGCAGCCGCGGUAAUA